GAUGAACGCUGGCGGCGUGCCUAAUACAUGCAAGUCGAGCGAACAGACGAGGAGCUUGCUCCUCUGACGUUAGCGGCGGACGGGUGAGUAACACGUGGAUAACCUACCUAUAAGACUGGGAUAACUUCGGGAAACCGGAGCUAAUACCGGAUAAUAUAUUGAACCGCAUGGUUCAAUAGUGAAAGACGGUUUUGCUGUCACUUAUAGAUGGAUCCGCGCCGCAUUAGCUAGUUGGUAAGGUAACGGCUUACCAAGGCGACGAUGCGUAGCCGACCUGAGAGGGUGAUCGGCCCCACUGGAACUGCGCCACGGUCCAGACUCCUACGGGAGGCAGCAGUAGGGAAUCUUCCGCAAUGGGCGAAAGCUUGACGGAGCAACGCCGCGUGAGUGAUGAAGGUCUUCGGAUCGUAAAACUCUGUUAUUAGGGAAGAACAAAUGUGUAAGUAACUAUGCACGUCUUGACGGUACCUAAUCAGAAAGCCACGGCUAACUACGUG
rnacentral:rRNA from 1 species